UACGUAGGGUGCGAGCGUUAAUCGGAAUUAUUGGGCGUAAAGUGUGCGCAGGCGGCCAUGCAAGUCGAGUGUGAAAGCCCCGGGCUUAACUUGGGAAUUGCGCUCGAAACUACGUGGCUGGAGUGUGGCAGAGGAAGGUGGAAUUCCACGUGUAGCGGUGAAAUGCGUAGAGAUGUGGAGGAACACCAAUGGCGAAGGCAGCCUUCUGGGCCAACACUGACGCUCAUGCACGAAAGCGUGGGGAGCAAACAGG
rnacentral:rRNA from 1 species